rnacentral:rRNA from 1 species
UACGAAGGGUGCAAACGUUGCUCGGAAUUCAUUGGGCGUAAAGCGCACGUAGGCGGCUUCAAAAGUCGGAUGUGAAAUCCCUCGGCUCAACCGAGGACGUGCAUCCGAAACUGCGGAGCUUGAGUAUGGAAGAGGGUCGCGGAAUUCCCGGUGUAGAGGUGAAAUGCGUAGAUAUCGAGAGGAACACCUGCGGCGAAGGCGGGUUGCUGGGCUGAUACUGACGCUGAGGCGCGAAAGCUAGGGGAGCGAACGGG